GGAGUUAUCCCCAAAUUUUUUUUUUUCCAACAAGUUUGAUCCUGGCUCAGAACGAACGCUGGCGGCAAGCUUAACACAUGCAAGUCGAACGGACCUAGUUUAUAGCUUGCUAUAAACUAGGUUAGUGGCAGACGGGUGAGUAAUGCAUAGGAAUCUACCCAGUAGUACGGGAUAGCCACUAGAAAUGGUGGGUAAUACUGUAUAAUCCCCGCGGGGGAAAGAUUUAUCGCUAUUGGAUGAGCCUAUGUUAGAUUAGCUAGUUGGUGGGGUAAUGGCCUACCAAGGCUGUGAUCUAUAGCUGGUCUGAGAGGAUGAUCAGCCACACUGGAACUGAGAUACGGUCCAGACUCCUAUGGGAGGCAGCAGUGGGGAAUAUUGGACAAUGGGCGCAAGCCUGAUCCAGCUAUGCCGCGUGAGUGAGGAAGGCCUUAGGGUUGUAAAACUCUUUCAGUAGGGAAGAUAAUGACGGUACCUACAGAAGAAGUCCCGGCAAACUCCGUGCCAGCAGCCGCGGUAAUACGGAGGGGGCAAGCGUUGUUCGGAAUUAUUGGGCGUAAAGGGCAUGUAGGCGGUUUGGUAAGUUAAAAGUGAAAUGCCAGGGCUCAACCUUGGAGCUGCUUUUGAUACUGCCAGACUAGAGUCCGGGAGAGGAUAGCGGAAUUCCUAGUGUAGAGGUGAAAUUCGUAGAUAUUAGGAGGAACACCAGUGGCGAAGGCGGUUCGGUGGGCGGGAA
rnacentral:rRNA from 1 species